UACAGAAAUAAGUUGCAUAAUAGAUGCCAAGAUUUUCAUUAUUUCAAUAAAGACGCCACACCUGGAGCAUAAGCCAUGAUUAGCAUCACCACCUACGAAUGGUAUCAUGAUAUGGGCAUAUGUGUGUUUUCUGACCAAUGAUCUGUAAGUAUAAAUAUUGUAUCACAGCUUCAGGAAGCUUCCUUAAGAGAGAGCAAAACUGUGUCUUUUGCUGUCUUUCUGCAUAACGGUUUCCUUUGCGUGCCUCCUUGAAAAGGAAAGCUGACAUCUUAAACUACGAGACUGAGGCUACAGAAGGAAGAGCACAGAUGAAAGGACCUAGCACCUUGGCAUCUAACAACAGGAACUGGCCACUAGCUCUAUACUGCCUCCACCAAAUUCACCUGUGAGAGGAAGGGGAACAAAUAUAUACAUUGUCCACAUCGUCUACAUGUAUAAAUGCCAUUUUUACAUUUGUCUAUCAUUUUUAUAUAACCCUGAUAUUUAUUAAUACAACAUUUCUUUCCUGGAAGUAGAGUCCUGCCAAUGCUAAUGAUUAAACAGUGGCAUUGCCUUAGGAGGUGGUAAGAAGACGGAUUUUUCAGUUGGAAAGCUAUGAUGUAUUUAUCCCUUUAAUGCAGUGAUAACAUACCCAGUGAGACUGUCAUCUGUAAUACCACACAAAUCAGCCUAUAUUGCAACUGAGGCCCAAGCAUUAGGAAAACCUAUAGAGACAAGUGGAGGAUGGUUGUGUAUUAACAAUUUCUUCUUAGAAAGCAUAUAUGAAAGAGAGGAGUUGAAAGUAGAGCCUCCAUCUAUGAAUAGAGACAUAAUAUUCACUCACUGGGUUCACUCCACUUUGGAGCUUUGGAGAGUAGAAAAGCAAAAUGUUUUUUCCCUCAAAUUUAACCAAUUAUAACACUGUCCUUGUACAAGUUGUAAAUCUGUUUUCAGAUAUAAGGAGCAGCACCAGCUGACAUCUAGCAAAGAAUAAAGAAUCUUAUUUCCAUGACCCCAAGGGAAUAGACUCCUCCAACAACUUUAACGAGCUUAGGCGCAGAUUCAUCCCAGGGUCUCAUGAAAAGAUUCUAGCAAACCAACUCCUCAAUGUCUAAUAUGUGAAACUCGAAAUAGAACAUUCAACAGAGACAACCCAUAUUUAUGACUUCUAGAACUGUGAGAUAAUAAAUGUGUGUUGUUUCAAGCCAAU
rnacentral:lncRNA from 1 species